UACGUAGGUGGCAAGCGAUACUCGGAAUCACUAGGCGUAAAGCGCAGGUAGGCGGUUUGGUAAGUUCUCUUGUGAAAGCUCCCGGCUCAACUGGGAGAGGUCAAGGGAAACUGCCAGGCUGGAGUGUGGUAGAGGAAGCUGGAAUUCCGGUGUAGCGGUGAAAUGCGUAGGAUAAUCGGGAGGAACACCUAUGGCGAAAGCAGGCUUCUGGGCCGACUACUGACGCUGAGAAGCGAAAGCAUGGGGAGCGAACAGGA
rnacentral:rRNA from 1 species